rnacentral:rRNA from 2 species
GUUGACCUCGGAUCAGGUAGGAUUACCCGCUGAACUUAAGCAUAUCAAUAAGCGGAGGAAGAGAAACCAACAGGGAUUGCCUCAGUAACGGCGAGUGAAGCGGCAACAGCUCAGAUUUGGAAUCUGGUCCCUCGGGGCCCGAGUUGUAAUCUGGAGAGGAUGCUUCUGGCGCGGCGCCGUCCGAGUUCCCUGGAACGGGACGCCGGAGAGGGUGAGAGCCCCGUACGGUCGGACGCCUAGCCUGUGUGAAGCUCCUUCGACGAGUCGAGUAGUUUGGGAAUGCUGCUCAAAAUGGGAGGUAAAUUUCUUCUAAAGCUAAAUACCGGCCAGAGACCGAUAGCGCACAAGUAGAGUGAUCGAAAGAUGAAAAGCACUUUGAAAAGAGG